rnacentral:rRNA from 1 species
UACGAAGGGGGCUAGCGUUGCUCGGAAUUACUGGGCGUAAAGGGCGCGUAGGCGGACAGUUUAGUCAGAGGUGAAAGCCCAGGGCUCAACCUUGGAAUUGCCUUUGAUACUGGCUGUCUUGAGUUCGGGAGAGGUGAGUGGAAUGCCGAGUGUAGAGGUGAAAUUCGUAGAUAUUCGGAAGAACACCAGUGGCGAAGGCGGCUCACUGGCCCGUUACCGACGCUCAGGCGCGACAGCGUGGGGAGCAAACAGG